rnacentral:snRNA from 22 species
AACAUGGUUACAGGUUACGCACAUCAGUGAGGACUUGUCCGAGAUUGCGUGAUUGCUAGUUGGUGCGUACAUUCCCUGUUCUAAUCGUCCUGAUCAUCGCUGACUUCUUCGCAGAAAACUAUCAACUGACUGCUCCUGUUGGCUUCGUGUCGGCAGGGAAUUUUUGGCAACACAAACACCUUUUUCAUCAGUCUUUCGUUGCACUGCG